rnacentral:rRNA from 1 species
UGCAGUCGAGCGGUAGCACAGAGAGCUUGCUCUCGGGUGACGAGCGGCGGACGGGUGAGUAAUGUCUGGGAAACUGCCUGAUGGAGGGGGAUAACUACUGGAAACGGUAGCUAAUACCGCAUAAUGUCGCAAGACCAAAGUGGGGGACCUUCGGGCCUCAUGCCAUCAGAUGUGCCCAGAUGGGAUUAGCUAGUAGGUGGGGUAACGGCUCACCUAGGCGACGAUCCCUAGCUGGUCUGAGAGGAUGACCAGCCACACUGGAACUGAGACACGGUCCAGACUCCUACGGGAGGCAGCAGUGGGGAAUAUUGCACAAUGGGCGCAAGCCUGAUGCAGCCAUGCCGCGUGUGUGAAGAAGGCCUUCGGGUUGUAAAGCACUUUCAGCGGGGAGGAAGGCGGUAAGGUUAAUAACCUUGGCGAUUGACGUUACCCGCAGAAGAAGCACCGGCUAACUCCGUGCCAGCAGCCGCGGUAAUACGGAGGGUGCAAGCGUUAAUCGGAAUUACUGGGCGUAAAGCGCACGCAGGCGGUCUGUCAAGUCGGAUGUGAAAUCCCCGGGCUCAACCUGGGAACUGCAUUCGAAACUGGCAGGCUAGAGUCUUGUAGAGGGGGGUAGAAUUCCAGGUGUAGCGGUGAAAUGCGUAGAGAUCUGGAGGAAUACCGGUGGCGAAGGCGGCCCCCUGGACAAAGACUGACGCUCAGGUGCGAAAGCGUGGGGAGCAAACAGGAUUAGAUACCCUGGUAGUCCACGCCGUAAACGAUGUCGAUUUGGAGGUUGUGCCCUUGAGGCGUGGCUUCCGGAGCUAACGCGUUAAAUCGACCGCCUGGGGAGUACGGCCGCAAGGUUAAAACUCAAAUGAAUUGACGGGGGCCCGCACAAGCGGUGGAGCAUGUGGUUUAAUUCGAUGCAACGCGAAGAACCUUACCUGGUCUUGACAUCCACAGAACUUUCCAGAGAUGGAUUGGUGCCUUCGGGAACUGUGAGACAGGUGCUGCAUGGCUGUCGUCAGCUCGUGUUGUGAAAUGUUGGGUUAAGUCCCGCAACGAGCGCAACCCUUAUCCUUUGUUGCCAGCGGUCCGGCCGGGAACUCAAAGGAGACUGCCAGUGAUAAACUGGAGGAAGGUGGGGAUGACGUCAAGUCAUCAUGGCCCUUACGACCAGGGCUACACACGUGCUACAAUGGCAUAUACAAAGAGAAGCGACCUCGCGAGAGCAAGCGGACCUCAUAAAGUAUGUCGUAGUCCGGAUUGGAGUCUGCAACUCGACUCCAUGAAGUCGGAAUCGCUAGUAAUCGUAGAUCAGAAUGCUACGGUGAAUACGUUCCCGGGCCUUGUACACACCGCCCGUCACACCAUGGGAGUGGGUUGCAAAAGAAGUAGGUAGCUUAACCUUCGGGAGGGC